GUAAUGCACUUACGUAUGUACAGUGCGUACACAAUACACUUUGGACCGGCGGCCGAUAGAAUUAAACAGUGACUUUCUUUCUCUGGAAAAAGAAGACGAAAAAAGACACAAAAUGUCGGGAAUUGCAAGGACCCUAGUACUCCGUACUGCUCCAGUUUUCAGGACCAACCUCAUUCAAACAAGAGGAAUCAGAAGUGCGCCUCCCAAGACACCUCUGACGCUGGCGGAAAAAUUCAUCGGCAUGGGGGUCAUCAGUGCUGGCUGCCUCGUUAUCCCAGGAUACAUCAUGUCACACUUAGAUGUCUACAAGGCCAGGGAAUAAACCCAAAGUGGACUCUCUAUGGAAAAUCAUUGUGCAUCCAGAUUCUAUAUAUGUUCAAUGUCGUCACCAGGAGACUUGGUCUGUGUCUGCAGACAAACAUGUGAUUGUCCUUUCAGCAAUGACAUGGUGCUCAUUACAUGCUAUCAUGAUCAAUAUCACCAGGGGGGAAUAGAAUUGUCUAAUUGAAGAAGCAUUUAUGCAGGAGGGAGGAAUGAAGGAGAGACAGCUCUACAUGGAACUUCAUCCAGCUACAGUCCAAUGGGCAGCAGGAGUCUACAUUUGACUGCCACUGACUCAACACACAGUCUCACAUCAUCACAAAGUGUACCAGAAAUCUUUUCUCUUUAUGCUAAUCAAGGAAUCAAACAUUGUCAUCUACAGAGAGAGAAAAUACAAGAACCUUACAUGUAACAAGCGUCCAUGAGAAAUAUUUCUAGUGCUUGAGAUUGCCAUUGUGUUUUCAGUAAUUAGAUCUUUGUGAUACCGUUAUUUAUAGUGAGAGUAAAUCAACGAUGCACCCAAGUAAUUAUUCCAGAGCCAAGACAUAUUUUUCAGUGAUCCCCCUCUGUUCCCUGUACAGUUUUUGUCUACAGAAUCAUGUUAACAUAAUUCUCUGAAAUUUUGAAAAGAAAUAUAAUCAUGCCUGUGAUUUCUCCAGCAGACACCUGAAUACCUGAAUGAUCUGAUGUAGUUUUGGAUUUGCACAACUGCACAUCACAUCAUGUUUAUUCAUCUUUCUGUGUGUUUUUGUAAAUGACCAGUGUUCUGGUGACACAUAAUCAUGCUCUAUGGUGGAAAUUAUUAUUAAAGUUUUGAAGUGAAGAAA